AGUGAACGCUGGCGGUAGGCCUAACACAUGCAAGUCGAACGGCAGCACAGUAAGAGCUUGCUCGUACGGGUGGCGAGUGGCGGACGGGUGAGGAAUACAUCGGAAUCUACUUUUUCGCGGGGGAUAACGUAGGGAAACUUACGCUAAUACCGCAUACGACCUACGGGUGAAAGCAGGGGAUCUUCGGACCUUGCGCGAUUGAAUGAGCCGAUGUCGGAUUAGCUAGUUGGCGGGGUAAAGGCCCACCAAGGCGACGAUCCGUAGCUGGUCUGAGAGGAUGAUCAGCCACACUGGAACUGAGACACGGUCCAGACUCCUACGGGAGGCAGCAGUGGGGAAUAUUGGACAAUGGGCGCAAGCCUGAUCCAGCCAUACCGCGUGGGUGAAGAAGGCCUUCGGGUUGUAAAGCCCUUUUGUUGGGAAAGAAAAGCAGCAGGUUAAUACCCCGCUGUUCUGACGGUACCCAAAGAAUAAGCACCGGCUAACUUCGUG
rnacentral:rRNA from 1 species